GAUGAACGCUGGCGGAAUGCUUUACACAUGCAAGUCGAACGAUGAAGCCUAGCUUGCUAGGUCGAUUAGUGGCGAACGGGUGAGUAAUAUAUCGGAACGUAUCCAAUAAUGGGGGAUAACUAGUCGAAAGAUUGGCUAAUACCGCAUACGUCCUACGGGAGAAAGCUGGGGAUCGUAAGACCUGGCGUUAAUGGAGCGGCCGAUAUCUGAUUAGCUAGUUGGUGAGGUAAAGGCUCACCAAGGCGACGAUCAGUAGCUGGUCUGAGAGGACGACCAGCCACACGGGAACUGAGACACGGUCCAGACUCCUACGGGAGGCAGCAGUGGGGAAUUUUGGACAAUGGGCGAAAGCCUGAUCCAGCCAUUCCGCGUGAGUGAAGAAGGCCUUCGGGUUGUAAAGCUCUUUCGCAAGGGAAGAACACUUACUUAAUAACACUAAGUGAGGUUGACGGUACCUUGAUAAGAAGCACCGGCUAACUACGUGCCAGCCGCCGCAGUAAAAC
rnacentral:rRNA from 1 species